CCUAUGGGGGGCAGCAGGCGCGAAAACUUUACAAUGCGGGAAACCGUGAUAAGGGGACACCGAGUGCCAGCAUCAUAUGCUGGCUGUCCAGGUGUGUAAACUACACCUGUUAGCAAGGGCCGGGCAAGACCGGUGCCAGCCGCCGCGGUAACACCGGCGGCCCGAGUGGUGAUCGUGAUUAUUGGGUCUAAAGGGUCCGUAGCCGGUUUGGUCAGUCCUCCGGGAAAUCUGACGGCUCAACCGUUAGGCUUUCGGGGGAUACUGCCAGGCUUGGAACCGGGAGAGGUAAGAGGUACUACAGGGGUAGGAGUGAAAUCUUGUAAUCCCUGUGGGACCACCUGUGGCGAAGGCGUCUUACCAGAACGGGUUCGACGGUGAGGGACGAAAGCUGGGGGCACGAACCGGAUUAGAUACCCAUGUAGUCC
rnacentral:rRNA from 1 species